rnacentral:pre_miRNA from 1 species
UUUUUAGUAUAAGUCUAUCCCGUGAAAUAUUUGGGAUAGACUUAUACUAACU